rnacentral:rRNA from 1 species
UACGGAGGGGGCUAGCGUUGUUCGGAAUUACUGGGCGUAAAGCGCACGUAGGCGGCUUUGUAAGUUAGAGGUGAAAGCCCAGGGCUUAACCCUGGAAAUUGCCUUUAAGACUGCAUCGCUAGAAUCGUGGAGAGGUGAGUGGAAUUCCGAGUGUAGAGGUGAAAUUCGUAGAUAUUGGAAGAACACCAGUGGCGAAGGCGACUGACUGGACAAGUAUUGACGCUGAGGUGCGAAAGCGUGGGGAGCAAACAGGG